rnacentral:lncRNA from 1 species
GGGACGCAUCCUGGUCUCCCUAAAGAGGGAGGGGUGUCUACACAGCCUGCAGGGCUGUGCUCCGGGCGAUGGGUGCAGACUCCAGGUCUACAAGAGCUGGGGCCAGAGAGGGCUCUUGGGGCUUCGCGUUCUGCCCGAGGACUGUCCCCCAAGGCACUGCUGGGCAGGUGGGCCCCAUGCAGUCGGCGCCAGGCAGCCUCACCUGUGGGGCAGAGGAGGUGGGGGAAGGGAGGUGAGGAGUCUUCUUCGAGGGGCGUUGUCUACGGGAAUUCGUUCUUGCUGAGGGAAUGGCUGGUGUGCCCCAAGGCCCAGCGCCACAGCCAGGGACUCCCUCAGGGCCUCUUGGAGGCACCGACAGCGUGUGGGUCUUGCAGACCUGCUCGGGAGGCAGUGCUGGUACCAUGUGCCACGAGAAGGCAUUUCCGGACUACCAGGGCUACUGCCAGUGGUUUGUCUUGGUCCUGCCUCCCCACAUUUGGUGACAAAUGAGCUUCCCCAGGGUCCCCCUUGCCUCUUAGGGCCUCCAGGCCUUCAUCAUGGAGAUGGGGAUGGCCACAGAGCCCAGCAGGAGCCUUGGGCGAGUGUGUGUGAGCGUGAGCACUGGCCGGGCGAGCACUGCUGGGCCUGGACGGCCUCUGGGCCCCUUUCGUUCUGACACUUUG